UUUUUUUUUUUUCCUUCACAGCUGUGUUUGCAGAGACUAACUACAUUUAUAUACAGGACAGGGUUAAUACUUUCAAUAUUGAGAUACAAAAUAUAUACUGGCCUCAAUCUAAGGUCUCCCAUCAAUGUGAAUUUUUGGUUGGAUGGAGCCCUGGGCAUCUGAGCUGGUGGGGGACAGCCCUGCCCACAGCACAGGGUGGGGCUGGGUGGGCUUUGAGGUCCCUUCCAGCCCCAGCCGUUCCGUGGUUCUAUGAUAUUAGGUUCCACUGGUUAGGAAUAGUUCUUGAUAAGCGUUAAUACCAUUUUAAAGAGAAAAGUGAAACAAUAAUGUUAUUUUAUAAAGCAUAAUGAAUACUAGAAAAAUAGUAUGUCUUGAGAUAUUAACUACGGGACUGGGACAAUGCAUUCCAUGCACUUCCAAUAUAAGAGGUUGACUGAUCAUCAGUCAUAAUUGUCAUUGUACGUUAUGGUUAGACUAGGCAUGCCUCUUUUUUGAAGUAAUAGAAUUGUUGCCAGCACUACAGGUUGGUUGUGAGUCUGUUGUGUGUUUAAAAGAAACAAAAAAAAAAAGCCUAGCUCCUUAGACAACAACUGUAUUUAAGAAAGCGUUAGCUUAAUGGCAUGCAUAGUUAGUCUAUUAUAGCAACAGAGAAACCUCAGACAUCUGAAAAGCCUUUAAAGUCCAUUUAGGUAUAAUUAUUUCUGACACAUUUUGUAUUAGACUGUGAAAUCUAUAGUAAUUUCAUGUUUAAAACAUCCCUAAUUACAAAGCAUCUUCCCUUGCUUAGGUACUUGACUGGUCUGCUGCUGCUCUUCGUAAAAUAAUGCUUUCUAAUGUUCUUCCCAAUUCUUAAAAGUCAGGAAAAAAUAGGAAAGAAAGCAAUUUUAUUUAAGUAUAAGAAGGACCGCUGAUUUAUUAUUCAACUAGACAAAGUGAGAUCCGCAAAAGUGCUCUCUAUUUUUCUCCUGAAAAUAUAAAAUGCAGAAGGCAUUGUUCUGAUUCCUGUACCAAAUGCCCUUAACUUAUGUUCUGCCUGUUGCAGCUUUCAGACCUUCUUGCCUACCUAAAGAGUUUGCCUGGAAAAGCUUCAUGGAGCAGUUGUAGAAUAUUGUUCUAAUCUGCACUUGACUGCCUGUGUGAAUGUGCCUUCCCAAUAAAAGUCAGCAUAUUCCAGAACAACUCAUGCAUUUUCUGAGAUUGUUGAUUAUUUAAUGAUAAGCCCAUUUUGUCUGAAAUCAGAAAUUACUAAAUAGUUGCUGCAAAUUGCCAGCUAUUCCAGUCUCCCUACAGACAAAACCAUUUCACCUUUGGCUAGGAUAAUCAAGCUGUCUUUACUUGUCAUGAUAAGCACAGUAUGCAAACCACGUUAAAGUAGAAUAUCAUUUGGAUGGAAUCGUAUAUUCUCUGAUAGAGUUCCACCUGUGUGACCACAGAAUUCAGCAAGCAGCUCUCUCAAUGCCUCCUAUUCUUAUCUGCCGCUGACAUGGUACCAUGUUUAGUUUUCACAAGAGUUGUGAUCAGUGAAAACAAAGCAGUUCUUGUCUCUAGCUGCAUCAGCAGUGACUAAAGGCAGUAGCAGCCUGGUGGAUAAAAGUCACUUCUGUUUCCAUGAUGUCUCCUUUUUUCUUUUCUCCAGAAAAUUCCAAAUUCUGAUAGAGAGCCUCUGCUUUUCACUUGGAAGCUCCCAGCACUUCUCAAACUACUCUAGUUUUCCUCGACCAAAAUCUUCCUCUGUGCCUGAUGCCAUUAUCUAGACAUCACCAGUUCAAGCACUCAAUACUUCUUGCUAUUUCACUGUGCCUUUCUCAUUUUAACACAUGCAACUUGUUCUGCUGCUCUGUUAAUGUUAUUCUUCUUGUGGCCUUCCAUCACCUUUUCUAGAUUCCCUUAGGCCACAUUCCAAGAAAAAGUACUCAGUGACUGUGGAAAAAGGGAGGAGAAUGACAUGCUUGUUUUUAAGCAAACGUAAAUGUAUCUGUUGCGCUCUAUCUGUAGAUCAUAUUAGGUCUGUAGGCAGAAAUUGUCAGCCUCCUUGUUUGUAUAGCAAUUUCUGUGUCUUCCACACUAAGCAAGCUGCUGUCCUGAAAUAAAAAGUUUUUGACUACU
ensembl:lncRNA